GUACUUACCUGGACGGGGUCGACUCUUGAUCUUGAAGAAGAGUGGCCUAAGCUAGUGACUUCCAUUGCACAUAACGGAAGGUUACUUAGCUUAAGGUCUCCCCAAGUGGGAGAGCCUGCGUCAAUAUUUGUGGCUCGGAGGCCUGCGUUCGCGCGGCCUCUC
rnacentral:snRNA from 1 species